GACGAACGCUGGCAGCGUGCUUAACACAUGCAAGUCGAACGGACAGGCCCUGCUUUUGUGGGGUGCUCGAGUGGCGAACGGGUGAGUAACACGUGAGUAACCUGCCCUUGACUUUGGGAUAACUUCAGGAAACUGGGGCUAAUACCGGAUAGGAGCUCCUGCUGCAUGGUGGGGGUUGGAAAGUUUCGGCUGUUGGGGAUGGACUCGCGGCUUAUCAGCUUGUUGGUGGGGUAGUGGCUUACCAAGGCUUUGACGGGUAGCCGGCCUGAGAGGGUGACCGGCCACAUUGGGACUGAGAUACGGCGCAGACGCCUACGGGAGGCAGCAGUGGGGAAUAUUGCACAAUGGGCGGAAGCCUGAUGCAGCAACGCCGCGUGCGGGAUGACGGCCUUCGGGGUGUAAACCGCUGUCGCCUGUGACGAAGCGUGAGUGACGGUAAUGGGUAAAGAAGCACCGGCUAACUACGUG
rnacentral:rRNA from 1 species